rfam:Sandaracinus amylolyticus strain DSM 53668, complete genome.
GGGCCGUUAGCUCAGCCGGCAGAGCAGCGGGCUUUUAACCCGACGGUGGCAGGUUCGAGCCCUGCACGGCCCA